ACAAUAGCUUUAUCUGCAUCGUUGGAAGGCUCAGUGACCUUUAUUGGUUGGUCGGCAGACAUAAGGCCUGGUAAAGGCAUUAUAUUCCGGGGGGUAUCAGGAGUAUCACGGUAUUCUGCUGGUUGGUUUUGAGAAGGUUCGGAAGGAAGUGGACGCUCCUCCUCCUUCGGUGACGGAGCCUGCUGAGCAUUCGAUUGUUCAGUAGGUUGAGUAGAAGUGGAAGAAGAGUCUUUUGGUGGAGAAGAGUCAUUAGUGGUGCUCUUUGCUUCCUCGGAGGAUUUGGCAGGAGUUCUCCUCAAAGUGUUUUUCCGUCCAAUAGGUGCAGCUAGACCAGGCAAUCCAAAAACAUGCAU